GCCCCUGUAGCUCAGUGGAUAGAGCACUGGCCUCCGGAGCCAGUGGCAAGGGUUCGAGUCCCUUCAGGGGUA
rnacentral:tRNA from 1 species